UACGAAGGGGGCGAGCGUUGUUCGGAAUUACUGGGCGUAAAGGGCGCGUAGGCGGCCGAUCAAGUCAGAUGUGAAAGUCCUGGGCUUAACCUGGGGACUGCAUUUGAUACUGAUUGGCUUGAAUGCAGGAGAGGAUAGCGGAAUUCCCAGUGUAGAGGUGAAAUUCGUAGAUAUUGGGAAGAACACCGGUGGCGAAGGCGGCUAUCUGGACGGAUACUGACGCUGAUACGCGAAAGCGUGGGGAGCAAACAGG
rnacentral:rRNA from 1 species